AUUGAACGCUGGCGGCAUGCUUUACACAUGCAAGUCGAACGGUAACAGGCCGCAAGGUGCUGACGAGUGGCGAACGGGUGAGUAAUGUAUCGGAACGUGCCCAGUCGUGGGGGGUAACGCAGCGAAAGCUGUGCUAAUACCGCAUACGAUCUAUGGAUGAAAGCGGAGGACCGUAAGGCCUCGCGCGAUCGGAGCGGCCGAUGUCAGAUUAGGUAGUUGGUGGGGUAAAGGCUCACCAAGCCAACGAUCUGUAGCUGGUCUGAGAGGACGACCAGCCACACUGGGACUGAGGCACGGCCCAGACUCCUACGGGAGGCAGCAGUGGGGAAUUUUGGUCAAUGGGCGAAAGCCUGAUCCAGCAAUGCCGCGUGCAGGAAGAAGGCCUUCGGGUUGUAAACUGCUUUUGUACGGAGCGAAAAGGCUCUCUCUAAUACAGGGGGCUCAUGACGGUACCGUAAGAAUAAGCACCGGCUAACUACGUGCCAGCCGCCGCGGUAAUAC
rnacentral:rRNA from 1 species